AUGUAUAAAACACACCUGGCUGGCAGCGCCACCUACAGACCCACAGCGCCACCUACAGACCCACAGCGCCACCUACAGACCCACAGCGCCACCUACAGACCCACCUACAGACCCACAGCGCCACCUACAGACCCACAGCGCCACCUACAGACCCACAGCGCCACCUACAGACCCACAGCGCCACCUACAGACCCACCUACAGACCCACAGCGCCACCUACAGACCCACAGCGCCACCUACAGACCCACAGCGCCACCUACAGACCCCCGGCUCCACCUACAGACCCCCAGCGCCACCUACAGACCCACAGCGCCACCUACAGACCCACAGCGCCACCUACAGACCCACAGCGCCACCUACAGACCUCACAGCGCCACCUACAGACCUCACAGCGCCACCUACAGACCCCCAGCUCCACCUACAGACCCCCAGCGCCACCUACAGACCCCCAGCUCCACCUACAGACCCCCAGCGCCACCUACAGACCCACAGCGCCACCUACAGACCUCACAGCGCCACCUACAGACCCCCAGCUCCACCUACAGACCCCCAGCUCCACCUACAGACCCCCAGCGCCACCUACAGACCUCACAGCGCCACCUACAGACCCCCAGCUCCACCUACAGACCCCCAGCUCCACCUACAGACCCCCAGUGUCACCUACAGACCCCCAGUGUCACCUACAGACCCCCAGUGUCACCUACAGACCCCACAGCGCCACCUACAGACCCCACAGCGCCACCUACAGACCCACAGCGCCACCUACAGACCCACAGCGCCACCUACAGACCCACAGCGCCACCUACAGACCCACAGCGCCACCUACAGACCCACCUACAGACCCACAGCGCCACCUACAGACCCACAGCGCCACCUACAGACCCACAGCGCCACCUACAGACUCACCUACAGACCCACAGCGCCACCUACAGACCCACAGCGCCACCUACAGACCCCCGGCUCCACCUACAGACCCCCAGCGCCACCUACAGCGCCACCUACAGACCCCCAGCGCCACCUACAGACCCACAGCGCCACCUACAGACCCACAGCGCCACCUACAGACCCACAGCGCCACCUACAGACCCCCGGCUCCACCUACAGACCCCCAGCGCCACCUACAGACCCACAGCGCCACCUACAGACCCACAGCGCCACCUACAGACCCACAGCGCCACCUACAGACCUCACAGCGCCACCUACAGACCUCACAGCGCCACCUACAGACCCCCAGCUCCACCUACAGACCCCCAGCGCCACCUACAGACCCCCAGCGCCACCUACAGACCCCCAGCGCCACCUACAGACCCACAGCGCCACCUACAGACCUCACAGCGCCACCUACAGACCCCCAGCUCCACCUACAGACCCCCAGCUCCACCUACAGACCCCCAGCGCCACCUACAGACCUCACAGCGCCACCUACAGACCCCCAGCUCCACCUACAGACCCCCAGUGUCACCUACAGACCCCCAGUGUCACCUACAGACCCCCAGUGUCACCUACAGACCCCCAGCGCCACCUACAGACCCCCAGCGCCACCUACAGACCCACAGCGCCACCUACAGACCCCCGGCUCCACCUACAGACCCCCAGCGCCACCUACAGACCCACAGCGCCACCUACAGACCCACAGCGCCACCUACAGACCCACAGCGCCACCUACAGACCUCACAGCGCCACCUACAGACCUCACAGCGCCACCUACAGACCCCCAGCUCCACCUACAGACCCCCAGCGCCACCUACAGACCCCCAGCUCCACCUACAGACCCCCAGCGCCACCUACAGACCCACAGCGCCACCUACAGACCUCACAGCGCCACCUACAGACCCCCAGCUCCACCUACAGACCCCCAGCUCCACCUACAGACCCCCAGCGCCACCUACAGACCUCACAGCGCCACCUACAGACCCCCAGCUCCACCUACAGACCCCCAGCUCCACCUACAGACCCCCAGUGUCACCUACAGACCCCCAGUGUCACCUACAGACCCCCAGUGUCACCUACAGACCCCACAGCGCCACCUACAGACCCCACAGCGCCACCUACAGACCCACAGCGCCACCUACAGACCCACAGCGCCACCUACAGACCCACAGCGCCACCUACAGACCCACAGACCCACCUACAGACCCACCUACAGACCCACAGCGCCACCUACAGACCCACAGCGCCACCUACAGACCCACAGCGCCACCUACAGACUCACCUACAGACCCACAGCGCCACCUACAGACCCACAGCGCCACCUACAGACCCCCGGCUCCACCUACAGACCCCCAGCGCCACCUACAGCGCCACCUACAGACCCCCAGCGCCACCUACAGACCCACAGCGCCACCUACAGACCCACAGCGCCACCUACAGACCCACAGCGCCACCUACAGACCCCCGGCUCCACCUACAGACCCCCAGCGCCACCUACAGACCCACAGCGCCACCUACAGACCCACAGCGCCACCUACAGACCCACAGCGCCACCUACAGACCUCACAGCGCCACCUACAGACCUCACAGCGCCACCUACAGACCCCCAGCUCCACCUACAGACCCCCAGCGCCACCUACAGACCCCCAGCGCCACCUACAGACCCCCAGCGCCACCUACAGACCCACAGCGCCACCUACAGACCUCACAGCGCCACCUACAGACCCCCAGCUCCACCUACAGACCCCCAGCUCCACCUACAGACCCCCAGCGCCACCUACAGACCUCACAGCGCCACCUACAGACCCCCAGCUCCACCUACAGACCCCCAGUGUCACCUACAGACCCCCAGUGUCACCUACAGACCCCCAGUGUCACCUACAGACCCCCAGCGCCACCUACAGACCCCCAGCGCCACCUACAGACCCCCAGCGUCACCUACAGACCCCCAGCGCCACCUACAGACCUCACAGCGCCACCUACAGACCUCACAGCGCCACCUACAGUCCUCACAGCGCCACCUACAGACCCCCAGCGCCACCUACAGACCCCCAGCACCACCUACAGACCCCCAACGUCACCUACAGACCCCCAACGUCACCUACAGACCCCCAGCGCCACCUACAGAUUCCCAGCGUCACCUACAGACUCCCAGCGUCACCUACAGACUCCCAGCGUCACCUACAGACUCCCAGCGCCACCUACAGACCCCCAGCGCCACCUACAGAUUCCCAGUGUCACCUACAGACCCCCAGUGUCACCUACAGACCCCCAGCGCCACCUACAGACCCCCAGUGUCACCUACAGUCCCACAGCGCCACCUACAGACCCCCAGCGCCACCUACAGAGAUGAAGUUUUAAAAAUAUUAAAUGCAUAUUAAACAUUUGUAGAGGGAGCAUCCCGGUGUUCCUGCAUGUUUUACUACCGUCAACAGACGCGUCAGAACUUUCCUUUUAUGUCACAACAAGUCCUAGUUGAUAUUGGCGGUGGGAGAGCUAGUUGCCGUUAGCCGUGGCUAAAUAACGGAGCUAACGGAGAUUUGCAUAGAGUUGCGUUUACGAUGCGUUCAAGCUCUCUGCAGUAAAAAAAACCCAAGUAUUGGCCGAAGAUAAUUUCUACAGUCGUCAUGAUGUUCUAACGUAAUCUUCACUUCAGAAAUCCAUCGCCUCAUGUUUGCCCUUUUUUUUAUCUUCCUGUGUAUUAAUUUACCACGAGAUGCUUCUGUGAUGGAAUGAAAGAAAACAAGAUGUGAUGACUGAGCCAAAUUCAAACAGUACAUUCAUACUGUAUGGAAAUGUUAUUUAAAUAUCGACGGCAGGUUUUGUUUAUGGAAAGUGCUUCGUGAGCUUAUUUAUGGAUCGGACGAAUUUAUUCAGAUUUCUCGGACAAAUCGAACGGAGACAUUUCUUCUUGGUGUGCGGCGUCAAUGAAAGAAAGAAGUAAAACAUGCAGAAACAUCAAAGUUCUCCUUUUGAAUGACGUCUCAGAGCUCGAGCGACUAAAGCGCCAGAAGGAAGCGCGGCGCCGCUUCAGGCUGUUGUGGUUUGAGAUGUAAAUGAGCCGCUCCACUUCCUCUUCAGCUUGUGUCCUGUGACCCCACAAGAGCCAGAAGCUGAACAGGUGAAGCAGUAAUCUGGUUUCCAGGUGUUGUUCUUGUGCGUCCCCGUAGACUAAAUGUUGGUUCAUAAACAUGUGUUAAUAAACAUGUUGUUCAUCUUGUGGCGCUGAAAUGAAGAAAGAAAAGAAACUAUUUGUGUUUUUACCAAAUAUGAACAUUAUUCCAGAGUGGAUCAAUGAAGAAAAACAUCUGCUUGAAAAUCAAAUGUUUUUGUUUUUUUCAGCGUCUUCCAGAUUUCAAAAUGUCUCCCGUGUGUUUCGUGACACGGAGGUAGAGCGGUUCUUUAUCUCCGACGGGGCACGGGGACUUUAACGCCGUCGAGCGUUCGAUUCCUUCUUUUAGUUUUUACGCUGCUCCGUACGGGGCUUCUAUCUACUGUACUGUUUGUUUUUGUUUGUUUGCAGACGCGUUGUGUAUUUUAUUCGUGACGUUGGUUUCACGCGUUCAUCCAAACCGACCUUCAGCUUCCAGCGGCGCUCGGCCUCCCGGGGUUUUCUGGGUUCAACUGUAAAUGUCUAUAAAUAUAUUUUUUGUAUGUAUGCCUUUCCUAAUGAUCUGGAGAAGAUAGAUGUUAUUUUUAUAUAUUGCAGCGUUUUUGUAAGUAUUUUAUACUUUUGAUAUGGUUCUCUGUAAAACAAGAGUAUUAUGUAAAUAUAGUUCUUUAGA
rnacentral:lncRNA from 1 species